rnacentral:rRNA from 1 species
GUACACACCGCCCGUCACACCAUGGGAGUGGGUUGCAAAAGAAGUGGGUAGCCUAACCUUCGGGGGGGCGCUCACCACUUUGUGAUUCAUGACUGGGGUGAAGUCGUAACAAGGUAGCCGUAGGUGAACCUGCAGAAGGAUCA